CAUUUUGGGGUGCUGCAGAACAGCGGGGGGGCUGUGGGGGUUUAGGGGGACUGAGCACCCCAUAGAGGGGGACAUUGCCCCCACAGCCACCCUGAGCCCCUCCUGCGGCGGUUUUGGGGCCAAAUCCAGGCACCCCAAAACUUGGAGGAGCCCCAAAACCAGGAGCGACAGAACUCCGGAGAGCUGGAGCACAGAGACCCCAAAACCAGAGAACCAGAGUCCAGAGUCCCCAAAA